UCACGAGGGCAGAGCCCCAUGAGUGGGUUCCUGAUAAAAGGAUAAGUUCAGCCUCCAUUUGCUCUCUGUUUCUAGUGUUCACUUCCACCUUCCACCCUUUCACUAUGAAGGACCCUCACCAGAUGGUGGCACCAUGCUCUCGGACUUCCCAGCCUCCAGAACUGGGACGGGUAAAUUGAAGCAAAAAGCAGACAAGUUCUAUGGGAUUUGCUGGCAUUGAUUUCCCAGGAUGGCAAAGUGCUAAGAACUAAACCUUUAAAGCUAACAAAAUGUACUGAUGUCUUUGCAAAGUAUCCAAGACCAACAAGAAAGUAAUUUCCCACCUCACCCUACCACCACCCAGAAAAGGAGCACAGAGAUGGGGAAGAGAGUGGCUGCAUCUGGCAUCCAGCCAGAGGAGUCCGUGCAGGGAUUCUGGAUCCCUCUUCCCCCACCCCACUGCCCUUCCCCCUCCACCCCAGCGUUUUGGAGAAGCAAGAAACUGUGAUGAUGCAGCUCCCUCAAGUAUCACAUGAAGAUAGUGGAAAGAGCCUCCUGAGGUAAAUAUGCCAUGUAGACAGAAACAAGCAAUGGCUCAACAGCAAUGUAUGAGGUCCAAGGACCAGGACCAAAGGGAAAAACAGCCAUCUCACCAGACACCUGCCUACGACCAGAUGCGUCAUCUCCAAUAUUAGCUAACUCCCUGGAACCUGGACUCAAGGUGUGAAAUAAAGGUUAAUGGGAAACCGCAGGAGUCAAAAGGAGGGGGCAGGAUUAUUGAGGAUUCAGGCUGUUGAGAAAUGAAAGUUUGGAUCACUCCCCAGAUAAAGAACCUUGACCAUUUAAGGGCAAUGGAAAUACAGAAUAGGCAGUAGAAGAAGGAAGCCAUAGAUACCAACUAUGGCCUCUCAAUCAAUUACAAAACUGAGAAUUCUGACAGUUUUGUGUAUUUCCUCUUUGCAUGUGAUGUAUAUGUGUGUAUUUGUAUAUAUUAACCAUUUUCCUUUUUCUCUCUUCAUUAUUUUAUGAAAGUUGUUGAAUAUAAACUCUACAAUUUAGCCUUUAGGUAAGAGAAUAUUCAGUGGGACUUUGAUUUGAGGAGUAUUUAAGACAGCCAGAUGAGACUACGAUAACUGUUGGAACUGUGUGUCUCCUCAUUUGGGGAAAGGGGUGAGAACUCUGCAUUUCUCUGAAGAACAGAGUUGACUUUGUGUUAUACAGAGUUCAAAUAUAUAUAUAAAAUGGUGCAUGUGGAAGCUAAGAAGCCAAAGGAGUUCACCAAGACAGUUAUCAAUAUAUUGCCUCUCCGCUCCAAAUCCACCCUUCUUUGCCCUGUUCCACGAUACUAAUCUGGCUCCUCGGUCAGCCAGUGCAAUGUCAUCUGUUGCUGGUAGAGUGUAGGGGAGACACUACAAGGUAUAGUAAAGGGGUCAGAUGCGGUGUCUCAUGCCUGUAAUCACAGCCCUUUGGGAGGCAGAGGCAGGAGGAUCACCUGAGGCCAGGAGUUUGAGACCAGCCUGGACAACAUGGUAAAACCCCAUCUCUACUGAAAAUACAAAAUUAGCACGCACCUGUAAUCCCAGCUACUCGGGAGGCUGAGGCAGGAGAAUCACUUGAACCUGGGAGGUGGAGGUUGCAGUGAGCCAAGAUCGCAUCAUUGCACUCCAGCCAGGGAAAAAAGGCAAAACUCUGUCUCAAAAAAAUAAAUAAAUAAAAUAAAAU
rnacentral:lncRNA from 1 species